rnacentral:misc_RNA from 2 species
AAUUCUCAAAUCUCAGUCAGUUUUCUGAUCUUGAGACUUUGGAUGUGGGAGUUGCAGGCUUCUCAGAAGUCUGCUCUUCUUAAAUGCAUUAGUGGUUACUGAUUAACCAUAUCCUGGUGUGAUAAUAUCUACUCCAAGGAUUGGUUAGUAUUUAAAUGUAGCUGCUUCAAACAGUCCAUUAACUUGGACAAUUUGAACC